rnacentral:lncRNA from 1 species
CCUGCUUUCUCUCUCGUAUUCUCUGAGUUUUUUUUCGCGCUCUCUGAACUCUCUCUCACACUCUCUGAGCUCUCUCUCCCUCUCGCCUCUCUCUAUCGAGAGGAGCGCUUUUUGUUCUUGCCUCUCUCCAUCAGGCAGGAGCUCGUCACUUACGCCACCGUUGUUUCGUCUUACACGUUCUCCUGUUGCUCUCUUUCGUAUUCUAUAGAAAUCUCUACUCCAACCUUUCCGGAGCUUUCUCUUGCCAUCACAUCUCUUCAUUAGUAGGGUUGCUUAUAGGAUGUUUCGUUCAGUUUUCCUGUUCAUUGUAAGACUUGCCAUGCGUUCAUCCACUAAAAGGUGCUCAAUUCUUCUUUUUUUUAGAGAGAUAGAUAGUAGCAUACUAUCCGCUUCGUUUAUUUUAUUUUAAAAAUAAACUUAUCUGAAAAUAUUACUCAACUAAGAUUCGAACUUAGGACCUUAAGUACCAACCACCAAAUCUUUGUCACUUGCGGUAGGAACGAUUAGUCAUAGGCACUCAAAAUGAAAGACGAUUUUUGACAUCUUGACUAUAAUUCUCUAGACUUUUUUAAUUCAUAUAAUCUUAUUCUUUUAUUUUUUUAUUUAAUAUAAAAUUUUAUAUUUUUAGAAUAAGUAUCACUUUUAUGUAACAU